UCAUCACACAUCUGUACCAAAUAUCUAUCUGUUCCUUUUUCUUCUCUCUAGGGUUUGGUCAGUUAUUGUAGAUCUUGUGUUAAGAUCGAGUGUUCAUAGCUUAGAUCCGUUUUAAAGAGUGCAGAUCAUAUAAAGUCCAGCUUCUUCCUCAUCUUGCUCAUUCACCAACUCAACGAGAAUCCUUCAUUUUUUUUCUCAAUUCAAGCCCAUACUCACUACCCCUUUUACCGAUUUCCAAAACCAUAGAAAACUCAAUGGCCGGUGAUAUCUUUAUAUUUACGGGAGCUAACGACGACAGUUAUGACGUUUCCUAAGCUUUAAUUAUAUGCAAAGAUGUUUAUUGCUUAUAUGGGAUCACUUCCCGAUGGCGAGUACUCGCCUUCAAUGCAUCAUUCACAAAUAAUUAAAAAGUUUAUUCAUCCAAGUUUCGCAAGCCAUGCAUUAAUAAGGAGUUAUAAAAGAAGCUUCAAUGGAUUUGCGGCAUAUCUCACUGAAGAAGAAAAACAGAAGUUAACGAGAAUUGAUGGGGUCGUUUCGGUUUUCCCUUGUGAGAAGUCCCAACUUCAAACCAUAAGGUCUUGGGACUUCAUGGGAAUAUCAAGAAGCAUUGAAUGACGUCCUGCUGUCGAGAGUGACAUUAUAGUCGGUGUUGAUUCUGCAAUAUUGCCGGAGUCUGAGAGCUUUAGUGAUGAAGGCUUUGGUCCUAUUCCUAAAAAAUGGAAAGGAGUGUGUGAUGGUGGUAAAGAUUUUUUCUGUAACUGAGAACCUCGGGUCCAAAUUUUCAAAAGCGAGACUAUUAACAACCCAAGGGCUCCUUUUGUUGCUUCAUUAUCUUCUAGAGGACCUAGUAGAUUUUUGCAUGAUUUAAUAAAGCCGGAUGUAAUAGCCCCUGGUGUAGAAAUUCUAGCGCCUUUUCCACCGAAGUUACUUAGGCCAGAUGACAAACUUGUUCUUGGACAAGCUUAUCGUCUGGUCACCUCUACUGAUGUUGAGGCUAUGCAAGCAAGGCGGGAAACAAAUAUGCACGUUGUUACUAGUGAAAGUGACGGAAAGAAUUGCUUACUCGAAAACAGAAGAGGGGGUGCCCGGCAAAGCAGCCACAACCAUCUGUCAAAACUCCAGUGACUGAGAUCAUGAAAAGGAAGAGGGGGCGCCCGGCAAAGCAGCCACAACCAUCUGGAAAUGUUCCAAUGACUGAGCUGGUGAAAAAGAAAAGGUGGCGGCCCGCAAAGCAGCCACAGCCAUCAGGGGAAAUUCUUGUGACUGAGGUUGCGGACGCCGAAAAGGAAAAGGGGGCGGCCAGCAAGGCAGCAGUUUUGAAUAUCGAGAGUGAUGAAGAAAACAUGUGAAAUGCCACCUAAGCGACGACGCGGAAGCCACCUCAACAAAAUUAAAUAUGGUGUUAUGUAUUUUGAAACUUAUCUAGUGUUAACUGUUUAGUUAUACUUUUAGUUUGGUACUUUAAAGGGUAGAAAUGUGUCAUGUUCUUUUCUCUUUGUGAUAUGAAGCCACUUGACAGCAUAUAUAGAUGAUCUUUAACUAUGAAGUGCAUCUGCUAGUGACAUAUCCACUUGCCAUAAACACAUUUU